CUGUCUCCCUCUUGGGCAGCAGGACUGGAAGUGAAGACAGCUUCCCACCUCUCUCUCUGACAAGAGGACCAUCUGAAGCUAUCAUCUUGUGCUCCAGAAUGAUUGCACGAAUCAACUUAAAAAUGUGGCCUGAGGAGGAUGUUUGCCUGAGUCUGCUUGCAGCCUGAAACAAUGGCUCUGAGAGAGAGAGAGAGAUUUUGUGUAUGAGAGGACAAGGUGGCUGCACAUCUGGGAAAGGAAGCGCAAAAUAAAGGAAGUAUGACUCUGUACCAAGGAAGAACAAUAUGAUGGCAUGCUUAGUGAAGAGAAAGCAGGAGGAAGGGAAAUACUGUUGGUCAUUCUGGAUCUUCUUAGGCCUUUAAUUCUGAAACCCCCAAAACACUGUUUAAAAAGGUCAUACCCUUGUUCUUCAACAAAGAAGACAGCCAGAAGAAUAUACUGUAUUGUGAUCUAGCAUAAUCAUUCCAUUUGAAGUUCAGUGAAAUUAAUUUAAAUGUGACUUUUUUUCUAGUCAGUGGCUGUAUUUUCUUUAUCAUCUGUCCAGUUCUGAAUAUUACUGGGUUAGGGAACAUUGAUACUGACUAUAAUAUAGGUAAUUCUGACAGCCUUGAAUUUGAAGAAGACUGCGUAGAAGCAUUUCAGGAGCAAAAUCAUCAAUGGUAAAUACACUAAUCCAGCAUUGCCCUGCCAGACACUUGCAGCAAUGAGAGGCUAUGAAUGGUAGAACCAAAUGUUACUAUGGCAGUGACCCACAGUGUGUGUUACUGAGAGGAACUAUAUUACUGUCAGUUGCUUUUUCAAAGGAUUUCCUGGCAUUGAGAGACAAUGGUUAGGAGGGUUAGUGUUAUCUUUUAAAAGCAGUGCUUAAAGUGAGGGGUGGAGUAUAGGUGGUUAUGCCUUCCUCCCACUUUUCACUGUUGCCAGUUGAAAGAAUAUAUAGAUAUAGAUAUUUAGUGAAAGUGGGAAUGUAGCAACUUCACUUCUUCCCCAUAUUCAAACAUUGUUUAGAAGUAAAUUGGUUGAAAAGGGAUUAAAGUUGCAAACCAGCAAGGGUAUCUAUAUAGACUGCAAAUAUAAAUACAUUUAGCUUCAAGAGAUUUUUUAAGCAAAAGGUUUGAUAAUUUUUUACUGGAUGCAGUAUAUAAAAUAUUUUCUCUCUUAAAAAAACAAAACAUUUGAAAAUCAAUUCUUCCUAUUUAUUCAGCAAAUCUUGAGUUCAGGUUCUACUUUUCCUGAAAAGCUGAUAUCUCUAACCAGUAGCUUUGCUUUGCUGCAGGUGCUUGCAAUGUUAUCAGUUCCUGCAGAGAAACACUUCUGUCAAAAUUGUACAGUGAGACUCCUAACAUUCAUAUUUAGGCAGCUGCAAACAAAUGGCUUGGUUUUCAAAAGUGCUGAGUUUGAACAGUCCCAAUAAAGUCAAUGGGAGCUGUGGGUUUUUAGAACUUUUGAGAAUCAAGCAAUUUUUAUGUAGGUUAGGAUAAAGUUAGGAUCUAACUUUAGGCACCAAAGUUUUAAAAUGUUGUCCUUAUGCUUUUAGGGUUCCUAUCCUGGAAUCAAAUCUUUGCAAGUUGACCCCAAGUUGACUCUGCAGAGUCCCAAAAACUUCAUUGGGACUCCACACAGGUGUAAAGGUCCUGUAAAGGACCAGGGCAUAGGCUGUCUGUCCUAGCAGUCACAGGUGGAUUGGUGUUCACAACAGUCAGCAAGCUGGGAUUAGAGUAAUCACUGGAGCCGGGAUCAAUAGGCAAGAAUCCAGGUUAGGCCAGAGUCAGAGAUCAGAGGUAGUUACCUGGCAGGAACCAGGAGGCACGAUUAAGGGUUAAAGUCAGGCUUGGGUCAGAGGCUGGAGAGCAGGAGGCACAGCGAGGCAUUGUAGUAGGCCAGAAGUCUAUGUGGUUGCCCAGACAACGUCCUGGGGCACUCUCCAGGGUUAAAUAGUGAGCAUGGGGCAAUCAGAAGGCCACAGAGUGCUGUCACUUCCCACCAUUUGGGCAGUACUUCCUGUGGUACUUAAGCUCCACAGUGCUCCUUCAAGAUGGUUUUGGAUAACCUCCUGGUGGCAAUGUGGGAACAUCUGCUGUCCCAAGCUCUGCAUAGCUGGGUUUUAUUCCCAUGGUUCCUUAUGGGGCUACCCACAUGCAUUAGAUUAUAGGAUCAAGGCUUUAAAAUGCUUCUUUAAAAAAAAUAUUUUGUGUAGAUGAGUUAAGGAUCAUAUAUAUAUAUAUUUAAUUGCAAUCAUCAUUAUAUUAAAAGGUGAGAAAGUAAAUUUUUGUACCUGAGCGGAUUCCUUUUAUUGAGGGUUUUACAAGGCUGGUCUACACACCUGUUCUUUUACUGAUCUGAAAUAUUUCAUAUCUCAAUUUUGUAUUAAUAAACCAUGCAGUAAUCACUUUUACCUUCCUUUUACUCUUUGAAACUCAGAAACAUUAUUUACAAUAGCAUAGCUCUUGAGUUUGCUGGAAGUAAGAAUAGAUAUUCAACAAUUUAUUUGUGUUCUUUCUAUGUUUUAGGAAGUACAUCUGGAUUAUUAUCUUAACAAUUUUUUUUAAAUCAACCUUUUUAUAAAAGUCUUUCAUAGUACAAAGACCAUGAUACAAGUGGUGUAACAGUAUAUUCUACUCUCAAUGACCAUGGGUAUAGUAGAAUCCUAUAUAGAAUAUGAGCAUAAAAGUUACUAAUUAUUUGUUGCAAUAUACAGAUUGUACCUGAGGAUAGUUAUGCACCAUAUAGAGUGACUUUACUUUAAAAUGGUUCCACUUUACCCAUAUAUGUGAACUGGAUGUCUGUUAAAGAUAAGACUUUUCAAAAAUCUUCUGUCCCCUUCCCCACAGAAGGUAUUUGAUUUUAAUUUCUCUCUGUGUAUGUUUGUGCAUGCACAGAUUUUUAUUCUCUUCCCAGCUGGGAACUUGUAUACUUUUGCUAUGGAUUUGAUCUUGGAAAGUGCUGAGCAAGCUGGCCUCAGUCCAACAAAGUGCAUGCUUAAUAUUAAGUAUGAGUCUUUUAACAGCAAUGGGACUUUCUUGCAUAAAAUUAAAUAUGUACUUAUGUGCGAUACUGAAUUGGGCCAGUGUGUUCUGUGCCUUGCAGUAUUGAGACCUGUGAAUCCACAGUGAAUUUUGA